rnacentral:rRNA from 1 species
CAACUCUAAGUGGUGGAUCGCUCGGCUCGG